CUCCAGUCGCUUCAGUGCAGUCUGACGGUGAACCCAUGAUACACUUCACCGCGUCUUGGAGUUCAUUUCUCUGCAAUAUCGAUCCAGCAACUCAGCAUGUCUCUAGCGGAUCUGCAGUGGUGUCCCACAAGCGUCCAGGUAACGGUACUCCAAUCCAGAGGCCUCCGGAUAAAGGGGAAAAACGGUACCAAUGAUGCGUACGCUAUCAUGCAAGUGGGCAAGGAGAAGUUCCAGACCUCGGUGGUGGAAAAGAGCGUGGCCCCGGUGUGGAAGGAGGAGGCGGCCUUCGACCUGCCGCCGCCGCAGCUGCAGCUGCAGGCGGGCAGAGGAGGCACGGAGCGGGGCACGCUGCAUGUCCACAUCUUGCACCGGGCCCUGGUGGGACCGGACAAACUCCUGGGACAGGCUGUCAUCAACCUGUUGGAGCUCAGCGAGGACAAGACCCGCAACAAAACCGAAUGGUUCAAGUUGCUAGACAAAACUGGCAAGGCCGACAAAGACAGAGGAGAGGUUCUUGUGGACAUCCAGUUCAUGAGAAACAACAUGACGGCCAGCAUGUUCGACCUCUCUGCUGCCGGCAAAUCCAAAUCUCGUCUCGGCAAGUUCAAGGACAAAGUUCGCGGCAAGAAAAAGGAAUCCGACGCUACGUCUAACGUGGUGCCGUCCUUCAGUCAAGUCCUGACAGACAGCGAGGAGGAGGGGAGCGGUGAGGCUACUGCGGGCAAGGAGGAUAAAAAGAAGAAACACAAGAUGAAGUCUUUGUUUUCUACCAAGUCCAACCUGCAGAGGAACAUGUCUCAGUCCAUGUCCAUUCUGCCCGCGAAGAACUCCUCGCUGAGCGGCAGCCAGUCGUCUGGACUGAACGUGGAUUCGUCUGAAGGUAAAAAGAAGUUCAAGUUCAUGAUACACAAGCGCUCAGGCAGCUCGGACAGUAAAGACUCCUCCUCCAGUCAUCAGAAACACGUUGCUGCUGAACAGAGUAAUCUGUGCAUCAAUGGCAGCCAUGUUUACUGUGAGGAUCUUCCGCCCCGGACGUCUCGCAUCGGAUCAAACUUCAGCCUAACCAGCUCAGGACACGGGUCCAUGGAGGAUGUCCCAGAAAGCUCUCCACCAUCUGUUGAUUCACUGAGAGCCGUGAGGCAGUAUUCACCAUGGACAGAGGAGGAGGAGGAAGAAGAAAACCUAAAAGAGGAUGUGGAGGAACAAAGAGGAGAAGAAGAAAGGAUUAUGAUGGAGGAAGAAAGACGUAAGAAACAAGAGGAAGAGGACAGGGUUAGGAAUCAGGAACAAGAGCUUGAGAGGUUGGCAGAGGAGAACAGACAAGAGGAAGAAAAAAGGAGGGAAGAAAAGGGAAGGGAAGAAGAGAGAGUUAGAAAGGUGGAAGAGGACAGGAUUAGGAGGGAGCAGGAAGAAAGAGCUCAUGAAGAGAGGAGACGACAAGAGGAAGAAGAGAGAGAAAGAUUAGCAGGGGAAAAGAGGAGACAAGAGGAACGAGAAAGAAUUGAAGAAGACAAAGUUAGAAAGGAGGAAGAGGAGAGGAUUAAGAUGGAGGAGAAAGAAAGAGCUCAGGAAGAGAGAAGACUACAAGAGGAAGAAGAGAGGGAAAGAUUAGCGGAGGAAAGGAGGAGAAAAGAGGAACAAGAAAGGAUCGAAGAAGAGAAAGUUAGAAAGGAGGAAGAGGAGAGGAUUAAGAUGGAGGAGGAAAGGGCUGAGGAAGAGACGAGACGAGAAGAAAAGGAGAGAGCGAGGAGACAAGAAGAGGAGUGUAAAUUAGCAGAGGAAAAAAGGAGACUGGAGGAAGAAGAACAAAGACAGAUUGAAGAGGAGGAACUUAGAAAGGAGGAAGAGAAAAGUAUUAGGAGGAAGCAGGAGAGGGCUGAAGAAGAAAAGAGGAAACAAGUGGAAGAGGAGAUGGUGAGAAAGCAAGAGGAGGAAAAGAAGAGACUUGAGGAACAGGAAAAUAUGCAAAGGGAGGAAGAGGGCAGGAUUAGGAUGGAGGAGGAAAGAGCUCAGGAGGAGAGGAGACGAAAAGAGGAAGAGGAGUUAGCAAGGAGAGAACAACAGUGUACAUUAGCAGAGGAAAAGAGAAGACUAGAGGAAGAAAGAAUCAAACAGGAGAUGUUAAGAAAGGAGAAAGAGGAGAGGAUAAGGAGGGAGAAGGAAAAGGCUGAAGAAGAGGGGAGACAGCGAGAGAAAGAAGAGAUGCUGAGAAGAGAAGAAAAGGAGCAUGAGGAACACAAAAGGAGGCAAAGGGAGGAAGAGGAAAGAAUAAAGAAAGAAGAGAAGGAAAAGGAAGAAUAUGAGGAAAAAUGUAGACGAGAGGAGGAAGAAAUGAAAAAAAUGAAACAGGAGGAGGAGGAAAUGAUAAGAUUGGAGAAAGAGAUGAGGAGGAAAGAAGAAGAGUACAAGCAGUUGACAGAAGAAAAGCGGCAACUGGAAGAACAAGAGAGGAAGAGGAUUGAGGAAGAAGAAAAAAGGCAAAGGGAUGAAGAGGAAAGGAUUAACAAAGAGGAACAGAGAGCUAAGAAGGAAAAGGAAGAAUAUGAAAGACUGUUAGAGGAACAAAUUAGACAAGAAACAAAACGGAUUGAGGAAGAGGAGAAAUUUAAACGAGAGGAAGAGGAGAGGAUUAGGAUGGAGGAGAACGCUCAGAAGGAUAGAGAAGAAAAGCAGGCGAGGAAGCUGAAGGAAGAGAAGGCAACACAGGAAGAAAAACAAAAGAAGAAGGAUGAAACUCAAAACAGACACAAAGCUGCCGGAAAGAAAGUGGCUGUGGAGAUUCCUGUAGAAGUCUGUUCCAAUCCGUUUGAUACAAACUUUUCAACUAAUCCCUUUGAAGAGGAUCUAGUCUCACCGGCUGGACCAGACAGCAGCACAGACAAGAUGUCAACCAUCAAGGAGAGGGUUCAAUCUGCUGCACCAUUGGUGGGAAGCAAGGCUAUUUCUACAGAUGAAAAGGAUCCUAUUAGUACUGAGCGGGAGAGGAGGCCUGCUCCUCAGCCUCCAGGAAGGAAUCAUGAAGAGAGACCCAGUCAGAAGGAGCAGAAUGGAUCUGCACAACAACUGGCACACAUUUCCAAGAAGAGUUCAGACAAAGGCAUCAAAACCGUCAGUGUUCUCCCUCAGCGCUCGGUGCAAAUGAUUGCUCCUCUUAGUAGGCCUUCCACAGACACAAACAACACCCGGAGCUUGACACAAAGUAGUGCCACCAAAGAAACAUCAAAUGAAGCCAAACACAGUAAACGCCCUGCACCGUUGAGACCUCCAUCUGUGGAAGAAGAACCAUCAUCUAAACCCAAGACAACCCUGUCUUCUGAUGGCAACAAUUCCCAUAAAUGCAUCUCUGUGGCAAAACAAGUCCCAAUCGCUUAUGGCUUAAAUCCAUUUGAGGACGAUGAAGAUGAUAUUGCAGCCAAAGAUGAAGCAGUGCCCUCUGCUGAAACUGGUUCAGUACAAAAGCCUCCAGUAGCGUCACAAGCUGCUGAUAAAGAUGCUGCCUCUCAAACUAAAACCCAAUCUUCAAAAGCCCGUGCUCCUCUACCCUCUGCAAAGAAAGCUGCCAAAUUGAGCACUUUAAUAAACCAAAAAACAGAAGGAGACCAUGUUACAGCACCAUGUGACCCCAAGUCAGAAGCCAAAAAUGCUCUGCAUAUCCAGGAAGCUAACCUUCGAGAGUCUCAGCCUGCAACAGUGCAGAGUAUUGGGGAGGCGGCAGGUGAGAAGAAAGACGGGCCUCUUGUACCUUUACGCAGCCAGUGCCUACAUCUUUCUUUCUUUUUGAUUGUGUCGUUGAAGGCUUCAACCUGUGAAACCCCUUAAUGCUCUGGAACAGCAGUCGGUUUCAGUCGUUCAAGGGGAAAGAGAUACCAAAUCCUCAAGAAUCAGAUGUGAAGAUCAGGAGCAAACCAAGGUCAAUGCCCCUGGUCUGAAAGGGCCCUACUCUCAGCUUACUCAGGAGGAACUCAUCUCCCUUGUGCUCAAACAGGAAAACCAGCUUUCAGAGAGAGACAAAAAGAUAUCAGAGCUUGAGCAGUACAUCGACAACUUGCUUGUGCGCAUCAUAGAGGAGCAGCCAAGUAUUCUCAUGUCCUUGAACUCGGCGAAGAAAACUGCCUAGGAUUUACAUCUGACACUUUAUUCCAUCUGUACCCUUCUCUGUUCAGACCCAGUAAUCUAGCAUUACCAAAAAAUAAAAUGUGAUGUUCUUGUGGAUUAAAUUAUAAAAGGUAGCUGGAGAAUCAAGGUUUGAAAUUUGGACUUCAUGUUCCCUAUACUGGCAGAUAAAUCUCGAACAUUAAAAUAUAUUUUGUAAAGGACAUCUUGCAGAAGCUAUUGCGUUUUUAUAUAACUUUUCUCCAAUAAUAAUGAGUACAAAGACAUUUUACAUUUUUCUAAAUAUUUAGUAAUGUUUUUAAAACUUUGCUGCAGUAUGUAAGACUAAUGAAUGAAUAUCUGUUAUGAAUGUUUUCAUGUUGAGCAUAAGAUUCUUUGAUAAAUGUCUAAUGUUGCUUAUAUGUCAAACUUAAUUACUGUAUUUCAUUUGAAAAAUAAAUAAAUAAAGUUUAAAAAACACCUUCCAGUUAUCUCCGUUAUGAAUAAGAGCCUUAUUUCACUGUCAGAUCUAUGCACCUGGUAUGCAGAUAAUGUUUAUUUUGUGUCAAUGUCAAAGUUUACAUGUUUCUACUAACUCUUAAAUGCACUUUACCCUGCUUGUACUAUUAACAUAAUGUACACUGAACUGCUGUACUGAUAUAUGUUAUCAACAUAUGCAGAAUGAAAUAAAUAGUUCUGAUAAACAAA